UACGGGGGGAGCAAACGUUGUUCGGAAUCACUGGGCGUAAAGGGCUCGUAGGCGGUCUGUCGCGUCGGGAGUGAAAACUCAGGGCUUAACCCUGAGCCUGCUUCCGAUACGGGCAGACUAGAGGUAUGCAGGGGAGAACGGAAUUCCUGGUGUAGCGGUGGAAUGCGCAGAUAUCAGGAGGAACACCGGUGGCGAAGGCGGUUCUCUGGGCAUUACCUGACGCUGAGGAGCGAAAGUGUGGGGAGCGAACAGG
rnacentral:rRNA from 1 species